UAAAGCCCUGGCAAGAAUU
rnacentral:tRNA from 1 species